CACAACACAAAAUGCAAACUCGAGUCCAAACACAGAUAAUGAAACCUGAUAAUCCGAAGAAAACCAAAAUUCGACUAAUUAGCACUAAAUUCGGGACCAAAGUAGAAAAACAAAUAAUAUGAUUUCAAGCAAUUACGACAAUGGAGAGCAACCUCACGUAUGUAGGCGCCGAAGAGCUUAUUGCAAAGAGGGCAUCAAUUAAAGAAUAUCACAGAAAUCUGUAGAUGAAGCCGAAAUUUCUUGAUAAUCGAUGUAUUGUGCAUCAAUUGAAGAAAUUAGGUUUGGGCAGAUUAAGCAACUCUCUCAAGGGGGAGGGAAUUAAAUAAUUUUGGAGGAAUAUUUUUUGGAGGCAAAGAAGAAAGGGAAUGAAAUUUUGGGAGAAUAUUUUGAUGACUAAUU
rnacentral:lncRNA from 1 species